rnacentral:rRNA from 1 species
CUUUCUUUAAUAUGAUAUUAUAAGGUAAGCAUUAAGUAUAUUUAAAUAUGGAAUCUACAACGAUGAUAUUCUGUCCAGUUUAAAAUUUUAAAUAUAUAUGAAAAUAUAAUUUAGAUAAUUUAUUUUUAUAGGUUAAUUAGGUGCCAGCAACCGCGGUCAAACCUAACAUAUAAGCUUACUAUUUAUAGUAAUUAAAUCAUUCAUUUAAAAUUAUUGAAAUAUAUAGUGAAAUAUUACUUCAAUAUUUUUGCUACUUAAAUUUAUAUUAACUAAAUCCAUAAGAGAAACUAGGAUUAGAUACCCUACUAUUAUGAACUCAAAAAUAGUUACUAAGAAGUAAUAACAUAUCUUAAAACUUAAAUGUUAUGGCGGCUAAGCAAAACAAUUAGGGGAACUUACCAUGUAAUAGAUAGCCACCAAGCCUAAUCCACUUAUCUUAAUAAUUUGUAUACCGUUGUUUUUAUAAACCUCUCAAAGAGGUUUAGGACCAUAAGAACCUAUGAGAAGACAAAUCAAGGUGCAGUGCACAGAUAAGAAUUAAGGUGAGUUACAAUAAAAAUAAUUUUCGGAAAUAAACUAUGAAACAAUUUAAUAAGACGGACUUAAAAGUAUUUUUUAAAUUAAAGACAUACUAUAAGAAUACGUAUUGCUUGGUGUA